AAGGGCGACUGAACUGUCACUAGCUCAGCAUGUGAAUCAGCGGCGCUGAAUUGUGGUCUUAAGGUUCUUGCAUCCAGUCCAUGUUUUUUGGAAUAAAACAGCAAAGAGGGUGAAACUCCCGUGUGACUGGANUCACUACUGAGUCGAGUUGUUUGGGAUUGCAGCUCAAAUACGGUGGUAAAUUUCAUCUCAAGCUAAAUACUAAAAGGAGACCGAUAGCGCACAAGUACCGUGAGGGAAAGAUGACAAGAACUUUGAAAAGAGAGUGAAAGAGUACCUGAAAUUGCUGAAAAGGAAGCGAACGAACCUAGUGAAGCAAUGUCAUACUUUCCAACUUGCUCGCAACUUGGACGCUGUGGCUUGCCAAGUUCCACUGCAU
rnacentral:rRNA from 1 species